AUGCUGGGACUGUCCUCUAUCAGUGUGCCAAAUUAUACAACUUUCCCGCAAUCGGUUCUAUGGGCUGCCAUAGACUUGCUGCGGAAGAAGAAGAAGAAGAAGAAGAAGAAGAAGAAGAAGAAGAAGAAGAAGAAGAAGAAGAAUAAUAACGCCAACGGAUACAAUAGGUGCCUACGCACCUUCGGUGCUUGGCCCCUAAUAAUAACGCCAACGGAUACAAUAGGUGCCUACGCACCUUCGGUGCUUGGCCCCUAAUAAUAACGCCAACGAUUUCAAUAGGUGCCUACGCACCUUCGGUGCUUGGCCCCUAAAUAUAGCUGCAAGCAGCAAUUACGGGGCCAAGCACUCCAGCGGCAAAUUGAGGAGCUAAGCAUGGCAUGGAGCAUCACACCAAAUGCAACAAUGAGCAAUUACAGCAAUUUUAGGAUGAUUGUAAUUGAAAUGGUGGAAAAAUCAUAAAUACAAGCACUGGUAAUAUGAUUAAAUGGCUUAUCACUUUUGACCAACAGGUGGCGCUGUAAUCAAAUCAUUUUGGUGUGUUCUGUGUGAGAUGACAAUGGCACACACAAAGUUUGGUGUCAGUAUGCCAAAGCAUUGCAGAGAUACAGGCUGAAUUGUCAUUUUGGCAUCAUGCCUGAAAUUCGUCGCUGUGGUAUGCGAAAACGGUUUUGUCUAUCAAUACAAAAUCCAUAACAUUUUGUCAGCACAGUUUGAAGAUCAUCCGAUUCAAUUUUGGUGAAAAUCGGACCAACGGUUGAUGAGGAGUUCGAAAAAGUAGGUUUUCAACAUAAAUCAAAAUGGCGGACAGGAAGUUCAGCGUACUCUGGCAUAUUUGGUAUCUAUGUUGUCGGCCUAAGCCAAGGAAUAUUUUGAGACCAGUUUCAUUGCAAUAGGCUAAUGCAUUAAAAAGUUAUUAGCAUUUAUAUAAAUGUAAUUAUUAAUGGUUAAUGAAUGAUUUAUUAGUCUUGACCAAUAGGUGGCGCUGUUACCAAAUUGAUGUGACAUGGUCAGUCUGAGGUCACAAUGGCACAUACAAAGUUUGGUACAAAUAUGUCAAAGCUUUGCCGAGAUACAGCCUCAGAUGUAUUUUGGCAUCUUACGAACAAAUUCGUUGAUGCGCUAAAUGAAAACCGUUUCGUAUAUCAACACGAAAUCCAUAACUUUUUGUCAGCUUGGUCUGAAGAUGAUUCGAGUCAAAUUUGGUGAAAAUCGGACUAACGGUCUAGGAGGAGUUCGAAAAAGUAGGUUUUCAACAUGAAUCAAAAUGGCGGACAGGAAGUAUGGCCAAUUUUGGCAUAAUUGGUAUUGAUGUUCUCGGCAGGACCCAAAGAAUAUAGGGAGACCAUUUUCAUUUUAAUAGUCUAAUUCUUUCAAAAGUUAUAAGCAUUUUUAAGAUAUUUCAUCAUAACUUUUGACCACAAGGUGGCGCUGCCACCAAACUUUUUGAGUAGCUUCAGGGCAUGGAGCCAAACAUUUUUGUAAUUAUUUUCGUAGCGAUACGAUAAUGCGUUCAAAAAAUACAGCAUUUUGAAACAUAAUUCAAAAGGGCCGACACCUAAAAUGGCCGACACGUGAAAAUUGGAUAUCAUUCGACUCGGCAUGACCCACUCAAUCUAAAGAGACCAGUUUUGUUAUUUUUGGCCAAACCAUUCAGAAGUUAUAAGCAAAAAUAUGCAUUUUUCAUAUCUCCUGACCACUAGGUGGCGCUGCGUCGAAACACUGCAGGUAGUCUCAGGUCAUGCUUGUUAUAACACAUACCAAGUUUUGUCUCAAUACGCACAACCGUUGCAGAGUUAUAGCCUCACAAGCAUUUUUGCGUGCUUUUCGUAGAAUUUUUUCGCGUGGUAUUCGAGAACGGUUGGACGAAUCAACUUGAAUUCCAUAACUUUUUGCCGGCAUCGUCUGAAGAUGAUCUGAGCCAAUUUUCGUGAAAAUCGGACUAACCGUCUAGGACGAGUUCGAAAAAGUAGGUUUUUCGAACAAUUGAAAAAUAGCGAAAAAACUAAACCUUGCGAUUUUUGAAUUUCGGGGUUCAUUCGACUUGGCCUGACCCAAGGAUUCAGAGGAAAAAAGAAUUUUCAUUUUGUGGCUUACGGUUAAAAAGUUAUUAGCAUAAAAAUAUUGAAACUUUGGACAAGUGGUGGCGCUAGAGAGUAGACGAUAGAGACUUCAAAUUUGGUAUAGUUAAUGCUGGGACUGUCCUCUAUCAGUGUGCCAAAUUAUACAACUUUCCCGCAAUCGGUUCUAUGGGCUGCCAUAGACUUGCGGCGGAAGAAGAAGAAGAAGAAGAAGAAGAAUAAUAAUAACGCCAACGGAUACAAUAGGUGCCUACGCACCUUCGGUGCUUGGCCCCUAAAUAUAGCUGCAAGCAGCAAUUGCGGGGCCAAGCACUCCAGCUGCAAAUUGAGGAGCUAAACAUGGCAUGGAGCAUCAGACCAAAUGCAACAAUGAGAAAUUACAGCAAUUUUAGGAUGAUUGUAAUUGAAAUGGCGGAAAAAUCAUAAAUACAAGCACUAGUAUUAUGAUUAAAUGGUUUAUCACUUUUGACCAACAGGUAGCGCUGUAAUCAAAUCAUUUUGGUGUGUUCUGUGUGAGGUGACAAUGCCACACACAAAGUUUGGUGUCAGUAUGCCAAAGCAUUGCAGAGAUACAGGCUGAAGUGUCAUUUUGGCAUCAUGCCUGAAAUUCGUCGCUGUAGUAUGCGAAAACGGUUUUGUCUAUCAAUACAAAAUCCAUAACAUUUUGUCAGCACAGUCUGAAGAUCAUCUGAUUCAAUUUUGGUGAAAAUCGGACAAACGGUUGAUGAGGAGUUCGAAAAAGUAGGUUUUCAACAUAAAUCAAAAUGGCGGACAGGAAGUUCAGCGUACUCUGGCAUAUUUGGUAUCUAUGUUGUCGGCAUAAGCCAAGGAAUAUUUUGAUACCAGUUUCAUUGCAAUAGGCUAAUGCAAUAAAAAGUUAUUAGCAUUUUUAUAUAUGUAAUUAUUAAUGGUUAAUGAAUGGUUCAUUACUCUUGACCAAUAGGUGGCGCUGUUACCAAAUUGAUGUGGCAUGGUCAGUGUGAGGUGACAAUGGCACCUACAAAGUUUGGUGCAAAAAUGUCUAAGCUUUGCAGAGAUACAGCCUCAGAUGUAUUUUGGCAUCUUACGACCAAAUUUGUUGAUGCGCUAAACGAAAACAGUUUCAUAUAUCGACUCGAAAUCCAUAACUUUUCGUCAGCACACUCUGAAGAUGAUCCGAACCAAAUUUGGUGAAAAUCGGACUAACGGUCUAGGAGGAGUUCGAAAAAGUAGGUUUUCAACUUUAAUCAAAAUGGCGGACAGGAAGUAUGGCCAAUUUUGGCAUAAUUGGUAUCGAUGUUCUCGGCAUGACCCAAAAGAAUAUAGAGACAUGACUUUUAUUGCAAUAGUCUAAUUUAUUCAAAAGUUAUUAGCAUUUUUAUGAGAUUUCAUUAUAACUUUUGACCACAAGGUGGCGCUGCCACCAAACUUUUUGAGUAGCUUCAGGGCAUGGAGCCAAACAUUUUUGUAAUUAUUUUCGUAGCGAUACGAUAAUGCGUUCAAAAAAUACAGCAUUUUGAAUCAUAAUUCAAAAUGGCCGACACCUAAAAUGGCCGACACGGGAAAAUUGGAUAUCUUUCGACUUGACAUGACCCACCGAAUCUAAUGAGACCAGUUUUGUGAUUUUUGGCCAAACCAUUCAGAAGUUAUAAGCAAAAACAUGCAGUUUUCAUAUCUCCUGACCACUAGGUGGCGCUGCGUCGAAACACUGCAGGAAGUCUCUUGUCAUGCUUGUUAUAACAAACACCAAGUUUGGUCUCAAUACGCCCAACCGUUGAGGUGUUAUAGUCUCACAAGUAUUUUUGCGUGCUUUUCGUAGAAUUUUUUCGCGUGGUAUUCGAGAACGGUUGGACGAAUCAACUUGAAUUCCAUAACUUUUUGCCAGCAGGGUCUGAAGAUGAUCUGAGCAAAUUUUCGUGAAAAUCGGACUAACCGUCUAGGACGAGUUCGAAAAAGUAGGUUUUUCGAACAAUUGAAAAUAGCGAAAAAACUAAACCUUGCGAUUUUUGAAUUUCGGGGUUCAUUUGACUUGGCCUGAGCCAAGGAUUCAGAGGAAAAAAGAAUUUUCAUUUUGUGGCUUACGGUUCAAAAGUUAUUAGCAUAAAAAUAUUGAAAUUUUGGACAAGUGGUGGCGCUAGAGAGUAGGAGAUAGAGA
ensembl:lncRNA